rnacentral:rRNA from 1 species
UACGUAGGGCGCAAGCGUUAUCCGGAAUUAUUGGGCGUAAAGAGCUCGUAGGCGGUUUGUCGCGUCUGCCGUGAAAGUCCGGGGCUCAACUCCGGAUCUGCGGUGGGUACGGGCAGACUAGAGUGAUGUAGGGGAGACUGGAAUUCCUGGUGUAGCGGUGAAAUGCGCAGAUAUCAGGAGGAACACCAAUGGGCGAAGGCAGUGUCCUGGGAAGUACCUGACGCUCGAGGUGCGAAAGCUAGGGGAGCGAACAGG